rnacentral:lncRNA from 1 species
GGAUGGAGAGAGCAUUGUUGGACCAAACCUCAUCUAUGUACUCAACUAUGAUUGCAGAUUCACAUAUGACUUUAUCUCCAUGGAAGAAAACUGGGAUUUUCUUGUGCACAGGGUUGGACUUAAGAAGCAAUUCACUUUUGGGAUUCAAAGUCUCUUCAACAACCUCAUAAUCCAAACCCUUGAGGUUAAGGGCAAUCUGCACCCUCAGGGCAAAUGGACUGAACCAAGCACCCAAAAGCCUCAAGUCCCUUUCAGCCAUCACUGUUUACUAUAACAGGUCAAACACGGAGCAAUAUUGUGUUUGUUUUGUUAGGUUACUCAGCAGGAAAUGUGGAGUUUUAUGUAUGGGAAAGGAGGGUGAGAUAACAUUGUGUGAUAAGCAUGCUAGAAUAAAUUAUUAGGUAAUCCUAAAUCAUCCAUGUAUGUAUGGAAUAUUGACCAAUUUACAAGAAACAUAUAUUUAGAUUAUUUAAUUUUAAAAAAAUAAAUAUAUCCAGAUUAAAUCAGUGAUAAAUUAAACCACGACCACCUAAUAAUGUUUUCUUGAAUAGAGGCUACACCAAAUAUAUUAUGCAUUGAACGCAUCAAAUAUGUCGAUGACAACUGAUUAAAGAUAUUAUAUAAUGAUUAUUAAUAUAAUAAUACAAAUUAAAAAAGACAAAGGAAAUUACACGAUGCUGGAAUCAAAGUUCUUCUGCAAAAGUCAAAACUACCCAGGACGUCGUGAAUGUAGGAACCGCCGACGAUACUGACUUUAAAUGAGUUUUAUAUGUUCUUUCGUACUAUUGUAAUUAUAAUGAAAAAGAAAACCAGUCCUCAACAGAAUUUUAUCGUAAUGAAAGGAAAAAAAAAAUGUGACGCAAGUGAUGAAGUUAGAUGCCAAUAAAGUUCUUAAUAAAAACUAAAGAUGAAGGAAGCAAUGAUAAUAGAUGCCAACGUUUUCCACGGUUUCACAUCUUCUUCCUCCAGUUUUUCAAUAUUCAGUUUCAUAUAUCUUUAUUGUAUAAAGUCUUAUGUUCUGUGAUGACGUAUUGUCUUGACUCUUGAGGGCAAGAGAGACAUAAGAGAGUGAGAAUGCCAAAGACAUAGGGAGUAUUUUUUUUUCUUCUUAAAUUUAAUUUAAUAUCAUUUUAUUUUUAUUUAUUUAUAGAUAUUUUUAAUAUGGUGGCACUAUCUUUUUUAAUGUGUUGAACCCUUCAUAUUUAGGGUAGUGACUACUACCCAAGUUUUUCCCUUAGGAAAAUCAACUCAAAUUGUUUAAUGUGUCCAACUCUUCAUAAUUCAUAUAUAGGGUAGUGUUUUACCCAAGGCCUCCUCAAUAGUCAAUACAUGAACCCAAAAAGUUGAAAUUCACACAACAGUGGGACACAAUAAUUCAAGUGGGACAAACUAAUAGUACUGCAGUUCAAAGAACAAGCCAGAAUUGCGUUAUCUUGUUUUUCUUGAACGAUUCAAUAUUUAAAAGCCUUACGAAUGCAGUUUGACCAUUUGAGAUGAAAAAUAAUUUAUAAAUAUAAUAAGUGAUAUGACUUAAUAAGAAAAUUGAAAUACAAAGAAAUAAACGAUAAAAAAUAAGUAUUUGUAAUAUAUGAGAUAUAAUUGUUUAAUCUAUAAUAAAUUACCUCUAAUUUGAAUUGAGUUAUGUAAAUUUAUUCAAGAGGAUAAAUAUCUUUUGAUAUAUACUUUUAUUUGAUUUUUAAUUUGACUCUUAAUAAAAAUUAAACUUCUCAUCGUUUAGAGUUUGAUAUUCCACAUUUUUUUAAUUCUAGAAAAUUAUUUUGAUUUUUAAAUUUAGACUUUCACCUUUGUAUUGCAAUGUGUAAUUUUGAUAUUUUUAUUUUACAAUUUAUCUAAAUUUUUUUCAAUUUUUUUUACGUACCUAUUAGAGAUGAUAUGAUUGUUUGAUGCAUAGUGAGAUUUUUUUUUAUAAAGGUUAUUGUUUUUCGUCACAAAGCUGUAUGGUUGUUUUUCGUUCUCACACUUUUUUUAUUUACCCAAACCUACUUCAUGUAAAAAAAAAACAUUUUAAUAUUACGAAGAUAAAAAAUAUACUAAAAAUUUACAGAAACAAAUUUUAAAUAAUUUCAUAUUUAUAAGAAUAAAAAUCAUAUUUUAACAUAUACUUUUCACAUAUACUUGAUAUAAGUUGUGUGCCACCGGGCCCUCGUAUAAGUGGCUAGUAACUUAGGUUUUUUUAAAUAUAUAAUAGGACAAAAUUUGUUGGGAAAAGAAUUUUUCUUUAAUUGGUACUCUACUUUUUUUUAGUAAGUUUCAUGACUUUCGGUAGUGGAAAUAUUUUUGCUUCUAGAUAAAUAUAUAUAUAUAUAUAUAUAUAUAUAUAUAUAUAUAUAUAUAUAAGUUGUGUAUCUUUCCAAAUAAUAUUUUUUAGUAGAACCAUUACUAUAUUGCGUUUGAACAUGAUUUUGAAUUCUAAAUCACAAUUUAACUGAAAAUGGAAUAAAACUCUUUAUAUGUAAAACUAACCAUGCUAGCAGCCCAUGGAGAAGAAGAAGGGUAGUCUUGCAGAGAAGAUGGUGUUUUUGUUCAACAGUAUCCUCUUUAAGUUAGUCUGCUGUCAAGAGCUACCUGGCCACAAAACAAAUGGAUUGAGCCCACUUGAGGGAUUUUAUUGUAACUGUCCUCAAGAAACCGAAUCUCCUAAAAUAAAGAAAAAAGCAGGGUUCUUUGCUUCAUCAAACACUUUUCUUUCAUUCAUCUCUUCUAUCACUCUCAUCCAACUCCAAAGGCUCCCAAAAGCAAUGUCAAUAAUUCCAAUUGUAUCCCCUCCCAAAGUAGGCCUUUCCUUCACUGCACUUGUUGAACACUUCUUCCAUCCUCUCAAGUGCUUCUUCCAUUCCCACAAAGUGUGGCUUCUUUGCCUCAUCAUCUUGAUCAGCUGCUUCAGCCAAUAGAGCAUUCCGCAUGGACGUAUACCACUACUCCAAGACUAAAGAUUAGUACUUAUUCAAUAAAAAACACACGAAAGCUUAUAGCCUCUAUAAGUUGGAAGUGUUGCCGCAUCCAACACCGACAUACCCUAGCAUUUGUUUCAUACUUCUUAUUAGGUAUAUAACUUAUACAUUUGAAAAAACAUUUUUUGGUUAAUUUUAAAAAAUAAAUAUAUCAUCAAUUUAGAUAUUUUAUUAUAUGUUAUUAUUUUAUUAGAAUCUCUUUGUUUAUUUGUAUGUGGUGUCCGUAUCAUAGACAUUAAGACAUUAGUUUGUCGAAGUGUUUGUGUUAGAAUUUGUGCUUCAUAGCUUAUAACUAACUUUUGAUGAUAAUUAAGCUGUUCAUGCAACUUAAUAAAAAAAACUUCUUGAAAAGGCCACACCGCCGCAGGUAACUUAGCGAAACACAUUACUUACAUGAGUUCAAUUAAGUUACAUAUAUAAAUUAUUGAGAAAUGAUACCGUACCACUGUAAAUUAAGAAGUUCGGGUAUAGUUGAAUUUUAUAACAUCUAUUAUUUCUUCUCUACCCAUUCAUUUGCCUCCAUAUUUCAAAGUAAUAAACUCAACUCAUAUAUUCUUGCCUUCUUUCUUUAUUUCACAUUAACCCGCACAUCAAUCCAGCACCAGCGAAUUGAGUUUGAGUUUGAGUUGUGUAAAUUACAUUUGAGGCUUGCAGCUAACAAUUAACAUGAAUUUUGUCAUUGGUACGUCUACAAAUUCUAUAAACUCUUCUCAGUAAUAAUAUUAUGCCUCCUUAUCAUUCGUUUAGCUCAAACUAUAUUUACAUAUAAGUUCUAACUUCUAAAAUUCUAAAUAUACUGUAUAUGAACGCAGCAGCUAAACACAGCUUGCUCAAAACGACUAAGUGUGGAACUUCCUAGCUUCGGAGUCCAGAAUUCUAGAAAAGUUAAAGCACUGUGGAACUCAUAGAUUCUUGCUUUUAUUAUUAUUAUUAUUUCACAUUAACCCGCGCAUCAACUCAGUGAAUUGAGAUUUGAGUUGCCCAAAUUAUAUCUGAGGCUUGCAGUUGGUGGAUUGAUGCGCGGAUUAAUGACACAAAGAAAUAAGGAAAGAAUCUAAGUUGAGUUUAUGUUUUUGAAAUAUGGAGGCAAAGAAUGGGCCGAGAAGAAAUAAUAGAUGUUAUAAAAUUCAGCUGUACCAAAACGGCAAAACCCCCUUAAUUUAUGGGUACGUUCUCUAAGUUAUUUCUAAGUUAGUUAGUAAAAGUAAAAAUAAGAAAACCAAAAACCAAAAUCCAAAAUCCAAAAUCAAAGGGGUUUAGUUUAGAUGGUAAAACUCUGGUACCUUCUUCGAUUUUUAGCGAUGAAAAAAAAAUCAAAACCAAAAGGAAUAUAUAUAAAUACCUUGUCAUCGAUGUAAACAACCCAAAAUCGGGCAAUAGCUCGGUCAUAAGCAUUUUAUGGAAGGAGGGAGGGAGCAUUGUUGAACCAAACCUCAUCAAUGUACUCAACUAUGAUUGCAGAUUCACAUAUAACUUUAUCUCCAUGGAAGAAAACUGGGAUUUUCUUGUGCACAGGGUUGGACUUAAGAAGCAACUCACUUUUGGGAUUUAAGGUCUCUUCAACAACCUCAUAAUCUAAACCCUUAAGGUUAAGGGCAAUCUGCACCCUCAGGGCAAAUGGACUGAACCAAGCACCCAAAAGCCACA